rnacentral:rRNA from 1 species
GGCAAGCGUUAUCCGGAAUUAUUGGGCGUAAAGCGCGCGCAGGCGGUUUCUUAAGUCUGAGGUGAAAGCCCACGGCUCAACCGUGGAGGGUCAUUGGAAACUGGGGAACUUGAGUGCAGAAGAGAAAAGCGGAAUUCCACGUGUAGCGGUGAAAUGCGUAGAGAUGUGGAGGAACACCAGUGGCGAAGGCGGCUUUUUGGUCUGUAACUGACGCUGAGGCGCGAAAGCGUGGGGAGCAAACAGG